rnacentral:tRNA from 2 species
GCGGUCGUGGCGGAAUUGGCAGACGCGCUAGAUUCAGGUUCUAGUGAUGUAACAGUCGUGGAGGUUCGAGUCCUCUCGACCGCA